UUGCCCAUACUGGAGUGCAGUGGCAUGAUCUUGGCUCACCACAACCUCUGCUUCCCAGGCUCAAGCAAUUCUCCUCUGCCUCAGCCUCCCAAGCAGCUGGGAUUACAAGCACGCUCUUAACCACUAGUACAACUUAUGGUACCAACUGAUAGAGAAAAAUGUUAGGACAUGUUGGGGUUAUAGGCAGUGUGAUAUGUCAUUUAUUGCAAUUCACCUCAGAUCAAAUUACUUAACCUUGCUAAGCCUCAGUUUCCUCAUCUAUAAAUUGAAAAUGGGGCAUAAGGGAAACAUUCUCUGACAAGGAAGUCAGGAAGACAGCAAUGAUACCAUAUGAAAAAGACCCAGACCGAGUGAUCUGAAACAUAUUCAGCAGUUUUUAGAAGUUGCUGUGAAGGCCGGGUGCAGUGGCUCACGCCUGUAAUCCCAGCACUUUGGGAGGCCAACAGGGGCAGAUCACUUGCGGUCAGGAGUUCGAGACCAGCCUGGCCAACAUGGUGAAACUCCGUCUCUACUAAAAAUACAAAAAGUAGCCUGGCAUGGUGGCACACAUCUAUAAUCCCAGCUACUCGGUAGGCUGAGGCAGGAAAUGCUGGAACCCUGGAGGCGGAGGUUACAGUGCAGUGCACUGAGAUUGCACCACUGCACUCCAGCCUGGGUGACAGAGCAAGACUCCAUCUCAAAACAAAACCAAAACAACAAAAAGUUGCUGUGAAAUUCUAUGAAUAUUCAUUAAAAGCACAGGAUUGGGAGGGGUGGUAAAGGAAACUCACUGUGUCUAAGUUUCAUCGCGAUGACCAGCUUGAAAGCAGAUAGGUUCAAAUCUGCUUGUUCUCCUCCUUGAGCUAUUCUGGACCCUUCUAUGGGAGGUGGACUGUGACAACUUUCAUCUUUUAUGCUGGUUGAAGUCAGCAGCACACUAACACUGAAAGAAACAGGGGCUCUGGUUCUCUGCAUGGGUGGUGUGUGGAAGGGGCAGGCAAUGCAGCUAUAAAUUAGUAGAUCAGCCCUAAUACUUGGGGGUGGGGGCGUCUGUGAUUCUACCCUGGGUGGAGAGAAACAGAUCUGAGCUCCACUACCUUGGGUAAAGGGGAGAGACCGUAGGCACUGCACUGCCGGGUAAUCAACGAUGUCACUCCCUCUCAACAUUACAGGGAGGGAGACCUGCAUAUCUGCUCCUGUGGGGUAUCUCCCUUGCUACAUUUAGUGAUGCUAAAUCUUUGGGGGAGGUAGGGGAGGUAGGGGGAUGAUCUGUGUCUACCUCAAAAGGAGAGGAACACAUCUGAGCCCCUCUACCCCCAUGGCCCCUCAAGGGGCAGACCUGUCUCUUCAUGGAUUAAGGUCUGUUUCUGUUUGGGUGCUUCGAAAAAUUACACAUUCGGUAAAACGGGGGCUACGGAAGUAGGGAUCAGGUCUGAUUCUCCACAAUGGGGACUCAAUCUAACCUAGGAGGAGGGGGCAAUCGGCUUAGUUGUCUAUAGGAUGAGGCCUGUAUCUGCAACCACUUUGGGAACGGGUGAGUUGGGGAGGGACACUGAGCGCUCUAGGUCUACGCGAAUGGGGAGGAGGUGCCCUCCCUCUGUAUAUUAAAUGUUUCUAAGCUCCUCUAUACUGGUAUGGGGGCAGAUAUAUCAAAGCGUCUGUCUGUCCUGAGGAGGUGCCUCGAGGCGGCUGUCUAGAGUCAAGCCAAGAAAUGCCUUAAGUCGGGAGAAGUCUGCGAUGCUCAGCUGGGUUGAGGGAGAUGUCUCUACACGGUUGGGGUGGAUGUCCCCCAUUCCUUCGGUGGGUCGACUCCUGUCUAUACAGGGUGAAUGCAGAAUGCAGGCUCACUAUCUUGAGGACGAUCAACGCUUCACCACACAAGUGAAGUUUGUCCCUCUCUACACCGUGUGUCCCGGGUCUACACCUUUCUAGGUGGGAUGGGGCAAUGCCCCUCUCCCGGCAAACUCCACUCCGCGAAAAGGCAAUUAGGCGCGUCUCCACGUGUGCCGCGAACCCUGCCCCUCUUCCGGGUCCUUCUACCCUGGAAAGGAUCCGGCUGUUUACCUCUCUAUUCCAGGCUGGCGGGCAUCUCUGGUUUCACAUCCAAUACACGAUCCUAACUGCCCGGCCGUCUAGGUGAGAAAAGAGGAGAGUAGUUUCUUACCUACACUUCCGGCGGAGAUCUGAGAAGCGAGGGCAACACGACAAGUCGGUU
rnacentral:lncRNA from 1 species